rnacentral:rRNA from 1 species
UUAGAGUUUGAUCCUGGCUCAGGAUGAACGCUAGCUACAGGCUUAACACAUGCAAGUCGAGGGGCAGCAUGAACUUAGCUUGCUAAGUUUGAUGGCGACCGGCGCACGGGUGAGUAACACGUAUCCAACCUUCCGUUUACUCAGGGAUAGCCUUUCGAAAGAAAGAUUAAUACCUGAUAGUAUGGUGAGAUUGCAUGAUAACACCAUUAAAGAUUUAUUGGUAAACGAUGGGGAUGCGUUCCAUUAGGUAGUAGGCGGGGUAACGGCCCACCUAGCCUGCGAUGGAUAGGGGUUCUGAGAGGAAGGUCCCCCACAUUGGAACUGAGACACGGUCCAAACUCCUACGGGAGGCAGCAGUGAGGAAUAUUGGUCAAUGGGCGAGAGCCUGAACCAGCCAAGUAGCGUGAAGGAUGAAGGUCCUACGGAUUGUAAACUUCUUUUAUACGGGAAUAAAGUUUCCUACGUGUAGGAUUUUGUAUGUACCGUAUGAAUAAGCAUCGGCUAACUCCGUGCCAGCAGCCGCGGUAAUACGGAGGAUGCGAGCGUUAUCCGGAUUUAUUGGGUUUAAAGGGAGCGCAGACGGGAGAUUAAGUCAGUUGUGAAAGUUUGCGGCUCAACCGUAAAAUUGCAGUUGAUACUGGUUUCCUUGAGUGCAGUUGAGGCAGGCGGAAUUCGUGGUGUAGCGGUGAAAUGCUUAGAUAUCACGAAGAACCCCGAUUGCGAAGGCAGCUUGCUAAACUGUAACUGACGUUCAUGCUCGAAAGUGUGGGUAUCAAACAGGAUUAGAUACCCUGGUAGUCCACACGGUAAACGAUGGAUACUCGCUGUUGGCGAUAUACUGUCAGCGGCCAAGCGAAAGCAUUAAGUAUCCCACCUGGGGAGUACGCCGGCAACGGUGAAACUCAAAUGAAUUGACG